rnacentral:rRNA from 1 species
ACCUUAUCGAUAAACAAUUGGAGGGCAAGUCUGGUGCCAGCAGCCGCGGUAAUUCCAGCUCCAAUAGCGUAUAUUAACGUUGUUGCAGUUAAAAAGCUCGUAGUUGAAAUGAAGGGUAGUUGUGUAAUGAAUACAUUCGUGUAUUUUGUUAUUCAACUAUCCUCCUUCUAAAUUCGAUAUAUGAGUAUUAAUUUACUUGUAUAUGGUUUUAGACUUUUACUGUGAGAAAAUUAGAGUGUUCAAAGCAGGCAUUUGCUUGAAUAUAUUAGCAUGGAAUAAUCAUGUAUGAUUUUCAUGAUGUAUUUGAUUGGUUUGGUUCAUGAGAAUAAGAUUAAAAGGGACAGUUGGGGGUAUUCAUAUUCAAUAGUCAGAGGUGAAAUUCUCGGAUUUAUGGAAGAUGAACAAGUGCGAAAGCAUUUACCAAGGAUGUUUUCAUUAAUCAAGAACGAAAGUUAGGGGAUCGAAGAGGAU